rnacentral:tRNA from 1 species
AAAGGGAGACCUAAUUCAGGUAGGAGACGAAAAAAAAGUAGUCGCUACCAAGAAUCAAUCCCAAAAGGUCGGAGCGAGGCGAAAUUGGCUUUCAAACUAGGUUCUGGGUUCACACAAGACCUGAAUCAGGAACAAGGGCUAUUAGCUCAGGUGGUUAGAGCGCACCCCUGAUAAGGGUGAGGUCCCUGGUUCGAGUCCAGGAUGGCCCACCUGCACAGGUGGCAAAAACAAAAAAGCUCCGAAUCAGCACCUUAUCUUACUUAUAUAGUAAGAGAGAAUGCUGGCUCUGAGUUCAGAGUCCAGAGGAACCUUGAAAACUGCAUAGAGCUAGGUGAAAAAGCCAAAAAAGAAGACCGUCAG